rnacentral:rRNA from 1 species
UACGUAGGGGGCAAGCGUUGUCCGGAAUUAUUGGGCGUAAAGAGCUCGUAGGCGGUCUGUCGCGUCGGAUGUGAAAGCCCGGGGCUUAACCCCGGGUCUGCAUUCGAUACGGGCAGACUAGAGUGUGGUAGGGGAGAUCGGAAUUCCUGGUGUAGCGGUGAAAUGCGCAGAUAUCAGGAGGAACACCGGUGGCGAAGGCGGAUCUCUGGGCCAUUACUGACGCUGAGGAGCGAAAGCGUGGGGAGCGAACAGG